UUCUGGAUGUCUGCCUCGGAAUUUUGAUACCAAGUUUUUGAUUGAGAGGGAAUGACAGAAAUUGGGCAUGGACUAAAACAUUGUUCAUGGUAGUCUUCUCGGCAUUUUUUAGCUGUAAUUACCUCCUCAAGCUGGCAUCCUUCCUUGUUACUUAUAAUCACUCCAGCCCCCAAGUUUUUGUUUAUAUGUUCUGAAUACAGUUCAGAAGAGUCUCCCCUAACUUUUUUCAACAAAUAUUCACAACUCUUAUCUGAAGAUGCAGCUUUUCCCUCUCUUUCUCUCUUCUGCCCAAUACUUCUACCAAACUGGUUGGGAUCUUGGCUGCAUUUGGAAUGAAAUGCAGCUUCUUUCUCACAUCCACUUACAUCAAAUAUUUGCACCGAAAAACACAAUUCUCCAUCAUAUCUGAAAACUAAA
rnacentral:misc_RNA from 1 species